rnacentral:rRNA from 1 species
UACGUAGGGUGCAAGCGUUAAUCGGAAUACUGGGCGUAAAGCGUGCGCAGGCGGUGAUGUAAGACAGUUGUGAAAUCCCCGGGCUCAACCUGGGAACUGCAUCUGUGACUGCAUAGCUAGAGUACGGUAGAGGGGAUGGAAUUCCGCGUGUAGCAGUGAAAUGCGUAGAUAUGCGGAGGAACACCGAUGGCGAAGGCAAUCCCCCUGGACCUGUACUGACGCUCAUGCACGAAAGCGUGGGGAGCAAACAGG